rnacentral:rRNA from 1 species
UACGUAGGGUGCAAGCGUUAAUCGGAAUUACUGGGCGUAAAGCGUGCGCAGGCGGCUUUGCAAGACAGAUGUGAAAUCCCCGGGCUUAACCUGGGAACUGCAUUUGUGACUGCAAGGCUGGAGUGUGGCAGAGGAGACUGGAAUUCCUGGUGUAGCAGUGAAAUGCGUAGAUAUCAGGAGGAAUACCGAUGGCGAAGGCAGGUCUCUGGGCUGACACUGACGCUCAUGCACGAAAGCGUGGGGAGCA